AGGAGGGAGAAGCACGCUCCAUGCCGGGAGCCCGACGUGGGACUUGAUCCCGGGACUCCAGGAUCGUGCCCUGGACCAAAGAGUGAGAGCACAAGCAGGCAGAGCACCAGGUAGAGGGAAAGGGAGAAGCAGGCACUGCGCUGAUCAGAGAGCCGGAUGCAGGGCUCCAUCACAUGACCCUGGGAUCAUGACCUGAGUCGAAGGCAGAUGCUUAACCAACUAAACCACCCAAAUGGCCCCAAAAUUUCCCUUCUAAGACUCACCGGUAAGGCUGACUGCUUUGAGUGAGGACCAGAACAAGAGCAUGCUGCAGAUUAAGUUCAGGCUGUAGUCCAAGCUGCCUCACUGCUAGCACAGAUCCGGCAAUAUCUCCUACUGCAUCGCCUCCUCUCCCUGAAUCCAAGCCUAUUGUCCUCCCAUGGGAACAUGCCGACCAACUGAGGAAGAACAAAUGUGAACCUAGUUUACAGACAGUCUUCACAAUAUGCUGGUACAGCCUGAAGGGGGACAGCUGCAGGGAUGAAUCUGAAGGACAGAGGUCAAAACUGCAAAAGGGACAUUUGAUUGUCCAUUGUCUGGAGUGGUCAAGAGUAUGGAGGUAUACGAAUUUAUGGGCAGGUACUCAUGGUAUGAGUGGAUGGUCAAAACUUGGAAGGAACAAGAUUGAAAGAUUAGUGACAAGGAAUUUUGGGAAGAAGUAUGUGGAUGGACUUCCCAGAAUAUGCACCAACUGUGUUCUAUGUGAAUGCCCACCAAAGGGCAUCCGCUGCCGAGAAGAUUCUUAACAAUCAGGUAGACAUGUGAUACUUCUAGGGUUGUCAGUCAGCCUCUUUCCAAGCUACCCCAACAUUUGUUCAGUGUGUCCAUAAACAAAGUGGCCAGGGCACCUGGCAGGCUCAGUUGGUAGAGCAUGCAACUCUUGAUCUUGGUGGGGGGGCAGUGUUUCAUG